CAGUAGCCGCGGUAAUACGGAGGGUGCAAGCGUUACUCGGAAUUACUGGGCGUAAAGCGUGCGUAGGUGGUGGUUUAAGUCCGUUGUGAAAGCCCUGGGCUCAACCUGGGAAUUGCAGUGGAUACUGGGUCACUAGAGUGUGGUAGAGGAUAGUGGAAUUUCCGGUGUAGCAGUGAAAUGCGUAGAGAUCGGAAGGAACAUCUGUGGCGAAGGCGACUAUCUGGGCCAACACUGACACUGAGGCACGAAAGCGUGGGGAGCAAACAGGAUUAGAUACCCGGGUAGUCCCUGUCUCUUAUAC
rnacentral:rRNA from 1 species